UCUUCAUAAACUCAUCGACUAAAACCAAGAACAGGAAGAGAGAAAAAAAAAAUAGUGCUAAAUUUCUAUAGCUUUUGCGAGUUCUCUAGAUUUGUUAUUCUGCAAGUAUGGAUAUAGUCCCUGUUUCGGCUAGAAGGAUGUUCCGUGGUGACGGCGAUGACAAUGGUUCCGCGAUCUUUCCAGAAAAACCCUGAUGUUUACGCUCGAUUGAGUCCACGUCUGGCUGGUUUAAAUUGAUGGAUCUUGGUUGGCCAGAAUUAAGUGUGGAUUUGGUGAAUUAAUAUGAAUAUUUGUGUGUGUGCUUAAGUUGGUUCGUCCUAUGUAUCCUCGUACAUGCAUGUGGUAGUUCGGUAUGUAGUAUUGUGACUUUCCUCAUCAUGCAAUAUAUAUAAAUAAAAGGGAUAUUGCUAUUUCUCAUGUUU